GACGAACGCUGGCGGCGUGCUUAACACAUGCAAGUCGAACGGAAAGGCCUCUUUCGGGGGGUACUCGAGUGGCGAACGGGUGAGUAACACGUGAGUAACCUGCCCUUGACUUUGGGAUAACUUCAGGAAACUGGGGCUAAUACCGGAUAGGAGCUCCUGCUGCAUGGUGGGGGUUGGAAAGUUUCGGCGGUUGGGGAUGGACUCGCGGCUUAUCAGCUUGUUGGUGGGGUAGUGGCUUACCAAGGCUUUGACGGGUAGCCGGCCUGAGAGGGUGACCGGCCACAGUGGGACUGAGAUACGGCCCAGACUCCUACGGGUGGCAGCAGUGGGGAAGAUUGCACAAUGGGUGGAAGCCUGAUGCAGCAACGCCGUGUGCGGGAUGACGGCCUUCGGGUUGUAAACCGCUUUCGCUCAUGACGAAGCUUUGUGUGACGGUAGUGGGUAAAGAAGCACCGGCUAACUACGUG
rnacentral:rRNA from 1 species